rnacentral:rRNA from 1 species
GCUUAACACAUGCAAGUCGAGCGAAGCAGUUAAGAAGAUUCUUCGGAUGAUUCUUAACUGACUGAGCGGCGGACGGGUGAGUAACGCGUGGGUGACCUGCCCCAUACCGGGGGAUAACAGCUGGAAACGGCUGCUAAUACCGCAUAAGCGCACAGAGCUGCAUGGCUCGGUGUGAAAAACUCCGGUGGUAUGGGAUGGGCCCGCGUCUGAUUAGGCAGUUGGCGGGGUAACGGCCCACCAAACCGACGAUCAGUAGCCGGCCUGAGAGGGCGACCGGCCACAUUGGGACUGAGACACGGCCCAAACUCCUACGGGAGGCAGCAGUGGGGAAUAUUGCACAAUGGGGGAAACCCUGAUGCAGCGACGCCGCGUGAGCGAAGAAGUAUUUCGGUAUGUAAAGCUCUAUCAGCAGGGAAGAUAAUGACGGUACCUGACUAAGAAGCCCCGGCUAACUACGUGCCAGCAGCCGCGGUAAUACGUAGGGGGCAAGCGUUAUCCGGAUUUACUGGGUGUAAAGGGAGCGUAGACGGCAAGGCAAGUCUGAUGUGAAAACCCAGGGCUUAACCCUGGGACUGCAUUGGAAACUGUCUGGCUCGAGUGCCGGAGAGGUAAGCGGAAUUCCUAGUGUAGCGGUGAAAUGCGUAGAUAUUAGGAAGAACACCAGUGGCGAAGGCGGCUUACUGGACGGUAACUGACGUUGAGGCUCGAAAGCGUGGGGAGCAAACAGG